rnacentral:rRNA from 1 species
AGUGAACGCUGGCGGUAGGCCUAACACAUGCAAGUCGAACGGCAGCACAGUAAGAGCUUGCUCUUACGGGUGGCGAGUGGCGGACGGGUGAGGAAUACAUCUGAAUCUACUUUUUCGUGGGGGAUAACGUAGGGAAACUUACGCUAAUACCGCAUACGACCUACGGGUGAAAGCAGGGGAUCUUCGGACCUUGCGCGAUUGAAUGAGCCGAUGUCGGAUUAGCUAGUUGGCGGGGUAAAGGCCCACCAAGGCGACGAUCCGUAGCUGGUCUGAGAGGAUGAUCAGCCACACUGGAACUGAGACACGGUCCAGACUCCUACGGGAGGCAGCAGUGGGGAAUAUUGGACAAUGGGCGCAAGCCUGAUCCAGCCAUACCGCGUGGGUGAAGAAGGACUUCGGGUUGUAAAGCCCUUUUGUUGGGAAAGAAAAGCAGCAGGUUAAUACCCCGAUGUUCUGACGGUACCCAAAGAAUAAGCACCGGCUAACUUCGUG